CUACCAUGGCUUUUACGGGUGACGGAGGAUUAGGGUUCGAUUCCGGAGAGGGAGCCUGAGAAACGGCUACCACAUCUAAGGAAGGCAGCAGGCGCGUAAAUUACCCAAUCCCGACUCGGGGAGGUAGUGACAAGAAAUAACGGACCGGGUCUUCGAUCCGGGAUUGCAAUGAGUUAAAUCCAAAUCCCUUUGCGAAAUCGAUUGGAGGGCAAGUCUGGUGCCAGCAGCCGCGGUAAUUCCAGCUCCAAUAGCGUAUAUUAAAGUUGUUGCAGUUAAAAAGCUCGUAGUUGGAUUUCUGGGGGGCGCAGAUUGUCCGCAGACGCGUGUGCAGAUGCGCCCUUUCAUCCUUCUGUUAACGUCUCUUGACAUUCAUUUGUUGGUGGCGGGCUCAGAUAUUUUACCUUGAGAAAGUUAGAGUGUUUCAGGCAGGCUCGCGUCGGAAUACAUUAGCAUGGAAUAAUAGAAUAGGACUCAGUCCUCCUUUGUUGGUUUGAGGGGUCAGAGUAAUGGUUAAUAGGGAUAGUUGGGGGCAUUAGUAUUUGACUGUCAGAGGUGAAAUUCUCGGAUUUGUUAAAGACUAACUUAUGCGAAAGCAUUUGCCAAGGAUGUUUUCAUUAAUCAA
rnacentral:rRNA from 1 species